GGGUGUGUGGCUCAAAUGGCAGAGCACCUGCCUAGCAAGCAAGAGGUCCUGAGUUUAAUUCCCAGUACUACCA
rnacentral:tRNA from 1 species